rnacentral:misc_RNA from 1 species
UAAUAAAAGUGAAAAUUAAUUUAUGGCACUUUUAAAACAAUCCAUAUCCACCUUGUGUGCAAUGUUUUUUUUUAUUUUUAUAAUCAACUCUUUUUUAUAUAAUUUAUUAUCUGAAAUUAUUUAUGAAUAACUUAAUUCAAAAAUA